rnacentral:rRNA from 1 species
AUUGAACGCUGGCGGCAGGCCUAACACAUGCAAGUCGAGCGGUAGAGAGGUGCUUGCAUCUCUUGAGAGCGGCGGACGGGUGAGUAAUGCCUAGGAAUCUGCCUAGUGGUGGGGGAUAACGUUCGGAAACGGACGCUAAUACCGCAUACGUCCUACGGGAGAAAGCGGGGGAUCUUCGGACCUCGCGCCAUUAGAUGAGCCUAGGUCGGAUUAGCUAGUUGGUGAGGUAAUGGCUCACCAAGGCGACGAUCCGUAACUGGUCUGAGAGGAUGAUCAGUCACACUGGAACUGAGAACACGGUCCAGACUCCUACGGGAGGCAGCAGUGGGGAAUAUUGGACAAUGGGCGAAAGCCUGAUCCAGCCAUGCCGCGUGUGUGAGAAGGUCUUCGGAUUGUAAAGCACUUUAAGUUGGGUAGGAAGGGUAGUAACCUAAUACGUUGCUACUUUGACG